UACAGAGGAUGCAAGCGUUAUCCGGAAUGAUUGGGCGUAAAGCGUCUGUAGGUGGCUUUUUAAGUCCGCCGUCAAAUCCCAGGGCUCAACUCUGGACAGGCGGUGGAAACUACCAAGCUGGAGUACGGUAGGGGCAGAGGGAAUUUCCGGUGGAGCGGUGAAAUGCGUAGAUAUCGUUUGGAACGCCAAUGGUGAAAACAGGUUGCUGGGAGUGCGCUGACGCUGAGACACGAAAGCCAGGGGAGCGAACGGG
rnacentral:rRNA from 1 species